UACUGGAAACCGGGGCAGGGACCAGCGGGUCCGUGAUUUGUGAGCACCAGUGGAGGAGGAGAGGGAGUGCACAGUGAAAACAACAUUCUGCAUUUCUGUGCUGCGCUCUGCCUUGCCUUUUCUCACCGGAGGGUGCUGGCUAGAAUCCGGACCCGGGUAAAGCAGGUCGUCCACCCGAGAGACAGCUGCCACUUGGCAGUGCUGGCAUGCACUGCAGGGUCCUCCCCUGGCCUCGCUGCUGCAAUGGCGGUGAAGCAAGCCUGGGCCAGCGUAACCCCCGGGACGGCUGCCCUUUAGGCCAGGAUACACGGGCGGGUUUGUCUCUGUUUGUUUUUAAAAGGAGUCCAUCUCUAUGCCUCUGGUGCUCUUUGGCUUCUCUGCCAUGGAUUUCUCUUUCCAGGAGAGCUCUGGGGCCGCAUUUCUCACCACUCUCUUAAGACUUUAGAGAUGUGAACUGGCGGCAACUGGUGCCGUUCUCAGUUCUCAGUGUUUGGUACCCAGCCAGGCUCCUGAGCCCUGGGAACAGCCUUAUUUAGCGCUAGGAGAUUUGGGUCAGAGGCUCCCGAGAAGCCGGUGCAGGGAGAGACAGGAACAACCACCGCCCAGUCACAGCCGGCAGCCAAAAGGACUGAAGGGAAGACUCAGCCGACAGCGGAGAGUCCCUCCAAGCAGCCUUGGACCAGCUUUCCGAGGAGGCUGUUUUCUUCCCCGACUGCUCUGCAUCUGCCUGGGUGGCAGCCAGAGGCUGGGAACAGCAUGGCUGAGCUCAUGCUCCAAAGGAAGCAAGCUAUUCUGUUGUGAUUAACGCUGCGGAGAGAACCACGUGACAGAGGAUUAAUGUGUCUGACCAGUAGCCAGCUGGGACCUGAGGCUGCCUGAUUUCCCAACAGGAGUGAGCUCGAGAGUGAAAUGCCCACAGUGGAGCCGCCUCCACUGCUGACACUGCAGCCUGUUGAGAAGACCCGGUGUCAGAGUUUCCCAGCUAGGCCAUGCCCAGGCUCCUAGCCCAGAGAAAUGGUUUUAAUCCUACAUCCCUGGAAUGUGUUCUCUUCGCAUGUUGCCUCCACCCCUGCCUUCACACACCACCAGCAAUGGGAGGACAGCCAGGAGCCCUGGGUGCAGCAACCAGAGGGUCCCAUUCAGCAAGGAAUGGGAAUGUCCAUCCCUCCUCCAGCAGAGCCUGAGCCUCAGGGGAGCAUGGCAUCAUCACAGUGACUGGAAUCAAGAGAGGACCUGCAUUGGAAGGGUGCACUGGCAACACGGAAUGAUGGCGAGAAAACCCUCAGAGGCCUUUCCACAGCCCCCAGGAGAUUGCCUGACAUGGACAUGGAAGAGGGACAGCUGUUGUGUGGGCCACCAAUGCUGCUCAAACCAAGG